AUUGAACGCUGGCGGCAUGCCUUACACAUGCAAGUCGAACGGCAGCACGGGGGGCAACCCUGGUGGCGAGUGGCGAACGGGUGAGUAAUAUAUCGGAACGUGCCCUAGAGUGGGGGAUAACGUAGCGAAAGUUACGCUAAUACCGCAUACGAUCUAAGGAUGAAAGCGGGGGAUCGCAAGACCUCGCGCUCGUGGAGCGGCCGAUAUCUGAUUAGCUAGUUGGAGGGUAAAAGACCUACCAAGGCGACGAUCAGUAGCUGGUCUGAGAGGACGACCAGCCACACUGGGACUGAGACAC
rnacentral:rRNA from 1 species